UCGGGAAUUUUGGGCAAUGGGCGAAAGCCUGACCCAGCAACGCCGCGUGAGGGAUGAAGUAUUUCGGUAUGUAAACCUCGAAAGAAUGGGAAGAAUAAAUGACGGUACCAUUUAUAAGCUCCGACUAACUACGUGCCAGCAGCCGCGGUAAUACGUAGGGAGCAAGCGUUGUUCGGAUUUACUGGGCGUAAAGGGCGCGUAGGCGGCGCGGUAAGUCACUUGUGAAAUCUCUGAGCUUAACUCAGAACGGCCAAGUGAUACUGCUGUGCUAGAGUGCGGAAGAGGCAACCGGAAUUCUUGGUGUAGCGGUGAAAUGCGUAGAUAUCAAGAGGAACACCUGAGGCGAAGGCGGGUUGCUGGGCCGACACUGACGCUGAUGCGCGAAAGCCAGGGGAGCAAACG
rnacentral:rRNA from 1 species